rnacentral:rRNA from 1 species
CGUGUAGGCUGCUUGGAAAGUCGGAUGUGAAAGCCCUGGGCUCAACCUAGGAAGAGCAUUCGAAACUUCCAAGCUCGAGUUUCGGAGAGGAAGGCGGAAUUCUCGGUGUAGAGGUGAAAUUCGUGGAUAUCGAGAGGAACAUCGGUGGCGAAGGCGGCCUUCUGGACGAUGACUGACGCUGAGACGCGAAAGCGUGGGGAGCAAACA